CUCGGUGGCGCUAGAGAUUUUGAGGAACAACAAAUGGAGUCAGGUGACAUUUGAGAGCCCAUGCUGAUGGGUUUGGAAUGACAUGAGGGUGAAAUAUGACCCUGGACCUUCUUGACAGGUGUCAUGAGAUUCACAGAGACAGAUGAUCUCUCACACACAACGAGGAUGAUGAUCAUCAUACGAAUGACGUCCUUCAUUAACAGCAAAAUUUAUUUGGCCCACGAGUUUCUUGACCCAGCGGUCUUUGGCGUAUUCCAGCAUACAACCACCCGUCACUCCUCUAAUUUUUAACGAGCAAGACUUGUAUGACCCAAGAAAACAGCUUAAUUACCCUCUCUGGACCCUGGUUCAGACGCGUAGGGGUGGGUGGUCUGCUGCAGUUUCCUCCCUGCAUAACACUCAAAUGUGUGCUGUGCGUCCAUUAAAAGGGGAAAAAUAACAAAAUGCCUCAUUGAAAACACUUGAAAUGACUAAAACAUACGUUCUUAUUGGCUGGUUUAUUGGUUAGACUAACAGUAAAACAGCAAGGUCAAACUGUCUUUCUGUGAUCUCAUGACAUUUUUAAACGUUUAUAUUUUCAUGUGAUCAAAGUCAUCAAUUAUCACAUGUAUAUUCAAACAUACCACACAAUA